CUGAAUUGAAACCCAGAAAUCACAUAGAAACAGUGGUAUUAUUUCUUUUAAACAGUGUUAUCACUCCCCCAUAUAUUUUUCCAGAUGAAAUCAUAUGGAGAAUCCCAAAAUGGAAAACAAAUCCAUGUUGUUAAAGAAGGGAAGAAGGCCUCGAUCCCAGCCCAUGGUACCUACGGUUACCUCCCAGAAACCUCUGAAUCAAGCCAAGGAAUCCUGAGGUUCUAAUGAUGAAUAUUUUAAAAUCCGUGAUUUUGAUUUUAGCCUUUUUAUAAAUGAGGAUUCUCUGUUGUGCAAAUCACUGCAGUGGAAUGAUGCAGUGGGGCAUAAGGACAAUGAAUCAGGUUGAAAUAAGUCAUUCAUGUGUGCUGCUGUUUGCACAGAUCUGUAAG
rnacentral:lncRNA from 1 species